rnacentral:rRNA from 1 species
GAGAGGUGCUGCAUGGCUGUCGUCAGCUCGUGCUGUGAAAUGUUGGGUUAGGUCUCGCAACGAGCGCAACCCCUAUCGUCUGUUGCCAGCAUUAAGUUGGGCACUCUGACGAGACUGCCUGGGUUAACCAGGAGGGAGGUGGGGAUGACGUCAAGUCCUCAUGGCCCUUAUGUCUAGGGCUACACACGUAGUACAAUGGCGCGUACAAAGGGAAGCGAACUCGCAAGGGGGAGCAAAUCUCAAAAAGCGCGCCUCAGUUCGGAUUAAAGUCUGCAACUCGACUUCAUGAAGUUGGAAUCGCUAGUA